rnacentral:tRNA from 1 species
GGAUUGUAGCUCAGUGGUAGAGCGCUUGCUUCACAUGCAUGAGGCCCUGAGUUCAAUCUUCAGCAUCA